CCCACUCAGUUCAUUCCAAAUGUAAAAUCAGGCCUCCCUUUUCCAGAGCCAUUUAUUAGGUCUGCUAAGAAAGGCAGGCAGGACCUUGGUUCACAAUGACGACUCUCGGGAAUCAGCCACCCGUGUCUCAUGGAACUACUGGGAAGGCACCAUCCCAACUCCCCACCCUCACUGAGCAGAACCACAAGAUGAACAAAGUGGAGAUGACCUGUGAGAGGAAGGACCUCCCUGGAACCCUGGUCCAUCACACCCACAAUGACUUGAUCAGCAGGACAGCUCUCUUCCAUCAAGGCAGUGAAACAGGAGAAUCUGCAGUCGAUUUCAUAAUGGAAGAACAAAUGAUGAGAACCAGCGAGGGACAGUUGUCAUCUCUGUAGAGCAUUGACCUCAGCAUCCCAGGAUAGAAGAUGGGAGUCUACAUUCUGGUUCUCUACAAGAGCCUGUUACACAACAGCCUGUGAAAGUUCUGGAUAACCCUGCAGCAGAAACAUCAGUCUGAGAUCAUCUGGCAAUGACUAAACUUACUAGAUCUAUAGAACACUUCACAUGGGAAAUGGUCAAACAAAGAAGAUAGCCAAUGUUAUAUCAAUGUUAUAUCAAAGAGGAACCAAGGGUGGGACUCUCAUCCCUACAGCUUAUGUCCCUCAAUGAGAAUGCAGAGAAUGGAAGGAAGAAAGGCCACAUGCCAUCCAACAUGGUGACAAAGAGAAUCACUCAUUUGACAUGUGUAGUAGGCUCUCCUCCUUGCAAGCUGCUUCCCCUUCCCCCACUGGGAUCUCACACGAACCCUGCAAAGAAAAUGAGAUGGAACUCCCUCCCUCAUGUCAGUACAUAGCACUCCUCCAUCACAAUGCCAUGUGAGUGUGUGAAGUGCCAUUGACCCAUCUCCCUGCUUGAGCUGCAGCUUCAAGAAGAGCAGCAAGGUUUAUUUGCCAAUGGAUUCUUACAAGAAACUCACUGCCCAGAAAUACUGAUGCAUGGACACAGAAAUGAGCAGUUGGAUGUCAUGAGAGUGAGGGGGAUGAACCUGUGUGGGAGGGCUAGUAAAGUGAUAAGUUAAAGCACAUUUGGGUGGAUGGGUAGACAGUAAUGUUACAUGAGGAAAUGGUGCUGGACCUAACCCUGACCCAGCUGUUUUUUCUUACCACCUGCUCCUGGGUCUGGAGUCUCUGAUGACUUGUUCCUGUUCCUCACAGACCCCUUUCAGUUCUCCCAAGUAGUACUGCAGCAGGAUCCAUUCCCCCAGCACCUUCUUGGUCUCCUGCCUCACUCGGCUUGUCCAUGACAUACUGCCCCUGAGUCUUCUCCAUCUGGAGUCUGUGCUGCAGAUGGCUGGAAACACUCUCUGUAUAGUGAGCCCUGCCAGGCUCCUCCUGUCACCCCUGCCGCCAUAACCCAUCAACCCCACUGGUCCUCAGGUUCCCAAAGGAGACAGAGACAAGAGGUCAAUGCAGUCACGCCAGCUACACUCAGGAGGCAAAAAGGAGAGAACACAGAACCCCAGAAAGAAUCAAACUAUUUAUGAAUAUGCCAACAACAAAAGAAAUCCAAGUGUCUCUACCAAUGGGAGUGCAUCCUUCAAUGCCCUUAAUUGACUGUGGUAACGGGGCAACAUCAGGAAGUAGGGAAGGAUUCCAUUCCAAGGGAGGAUAGGAGAUCCAGCGUGUGUAGAGGACUCAUGGGGGCAAUAAGCUUCUGCCUGAUACCACUCUCAUGUUGCCAUUUGUUCUUCUACCUAGAGAAAUGUUCCUCAAACUAUGGGUCAUGACUCCUUUGGUGAUGGAAUUACUCUUUCAAUGGGUGGCAUCUCAGAUAUCCUGCAUAACAGAUACUUACAUCGUGAUUCAUAACAGUAGCAAAAUUACAAGUAUACAGUAGUAAGAAAAAUGAUUUUAGGUUUGGAUUUCGCCAAAACUUAACAAAUUGCAUUAACAGCACUGGGAAUGUUGAAAGCCAUUGUAUUAGAUUUUAUAAGGAUGAAGUCUAGGACUGAAGCAGCUAACAGUCUCACAAUUAGCCAAACUGAGUGUCAGAGGCACAAGGCCAAGAGAUGCUUGCUAAGAAUGUUUGCUACGAGGCAUAAAGGCUAGAAACAGAGCUGUGGACUCUGAAGUCCAGUGAAGACAAAAGGCAGAGACAAACAUUUCACAGAUCUGUGGUCCCCUGCAAGACAGGCACUAACCAAUAGAAGAGUGACUCCUUGUCGAGCUCAUCAAAUUUAUCUAAGGUUUCAGUGUUCUCAUUCUUCAACCUAUGCAGGUCUGCCAUGACCUGUUUAUGCUCCAUCUGGAGAAUUAGGCUGUUGGUAGGGCAUAGACCUAGAAACAAAGAACUCCAUGAACAACGUUUUCAUGGAUCACAUGAAUUCAAGCUGUGUACAAGGCUACUGGGGCCAAUGGAAUGCCACACCCUGACUCCUUUGUAAUUGGAUUGAUUAUUAAAUUAGUUGUCCUGACCCUAGGCCAACAGAGGCAGGAUGUUUAGGUGAAAGGUGGAGGCUGCAUGAGCUCUUUCAGUAGGACUGUUGAAACAGCUGGAAAACUAAUUCCUUAAUGUCUACUUCAGGGGGUAUGCCCACCAAAAACUGGUAGGAUGUUUCUUCUGUCUUCAAAAUAUAAGUUCUCAAUCCUGGUGCCUGUCACAAUGGAGGCCAAAGUCAUUCCAUGAG